GAGGAGCUUGCUCUUCUGGAUGAGUUGCGAACGGGUGAGUAACGCGUAGGUAACCUGCCUGGUAGCGGGGGAUAACUAUUGGAAACGAUAGCUAAUACCGCAUAACAGCAAAUGUUGCAUGACAUUUGCUUAAAAGAUGCAAUUGCAUCACUACCAGAUGGACCUGCGUUGUAUUAGCUAGUUGGUGGGGUAACGGCUCACCAAGGCGACGAUACAUAGCCGACCUGAGAGGGUGAUCGGCCACACUGGGACUGAGACACGGCCCAGACUCCUACGGGAGGCAGCAGUAGGGAAUCUUCGGCAAUGGACGGAAGUCUGACCGAGCAACGCCGCGUGAGUGAAGAAGGUUUUCGGAUCGUAAAGCUCUGUUGUAAGAGAAGAACGAGUGUGAGAGUGGAAAGUUCACACUGUGACGGUAUCUUACCAGAAAGGGACGGCUAACUACGUGCCAGCAGCCGCGGUAAUACGUAGGUCCCGAGCGUUGUCCGGAUUUAUUGGGCGUAAAGCGAGCGCAGGCGGUUAGAUAAGUCUGAAGUUAAAGGCUGUGGCUUAACCAUAGUACGCUUUGGAAACUGUUUAACUUGAGUGCAAGAGGGGAGAGUGGAAUUCCAUGGGUUA
rnacentral:rRNA from 1 species